GAUAACUGUGAGAAAAAAAAUCUCGCAGAACUCUUAUAAAGUGCAAAAAGCGCAAUAAAAGUAAUUUAUUUAUAUUCUACUGGACCUAACAAUGAAUUUUAUGUGCAAUGAUCCAUAGUUAAGAACUAUUAAUACUAGCAUAUAAAAUUCAAGAGCGAACAAUAAAUACAAUACUUUCUUUCUUUACAACAUGGUGGACUGUUGGCUGUACGCUGGAAUAUUCUUCUCGCUACUAAAUAAUAUCCGUACGAUUUCCUGCCAUUGAUGUGUGCAUGAACGAAGAGCCGCGACGCAUCGUAAACGCGGAAAAAUUUCCGCUGUGCCAGCGAGUGUGCGGGUGUGUGCCAGAAAUUUUCACCAGCAGAUCGACAACAGUCGCCGGCGGCGGAAAAGAGUUGUUUCGUCAUCAAUAGCGGGGAAUUAUUCAUUACCGUUUUUCGCCAUAACUUCCGUAGUAACUUUGCAGGUGGUGAUUGAUUAUGUGUUGUGAACAGGUGAGCCAUGAGUGGCGCAUACACAAACUACGUAAGCAGGAGCUCAACCCAAGCUUACGGACCAUCAAACUUCUCAAGGUGGCAAAUACAAAACGCGUUGCGAGGCGCGGGUGCGGAUCGAAAAUGUCUAUUUGCAAAUUAAACCUGUCGACGAAGGCAAGCAACUUUUGUUACUGUUUGGAACUGUUGCUAUUGCCAAUAUCUGAAAACGGUUUGCAUAGCAAAUAACUUUGAGCAUCGCAAUCAUAAUGCGUUUUCUAUGAGACAAUAAACAAUAUCAAAUAAAAAUAUAUUAUGUUGGUUUUAUUCAAAUUAGAUUUUA